UGGUGUGACUCCACUAUGGGGAGUGCUUUUUCACACUCCCUUUCUAUGUCUCUGCCCCCCCGCUCAGAAGGACGUUCAGCUGAGCAGGUCCCAGCAAGUGGGGCCUGAACACGGGGCAAGUCAGGCGAGUGGACCCUCCUUGAAGCUGGCCAGAGAUGGCUAAGGAUAGAUUUUAAACCAGAAUUAGCAACAUCUAAUGUGAAUCUUCUCAUCUAGAGGAAGUUUACCCUUAGCCAAGGUAAGCCCAGUUCCA